rnacentral:rRNA from 1 species
GACGAACGCUGGCGGCAUGCUUAACACAUGCAAGUCGAACGGUAGGGCCCUUCGGGGUACACGAGUGGCGAACGGGUGAGUAACACGUGGGUGAUCUGCCCUGCACUUCGGGAUAAGCCUGGGAAACUGGGUCUAAUACCGGAUAGGACCACUGCCUGCAUGGGUGGUGGUGGAAAGCUUUUGCGGUGUGGGAUGGGCCCGCGGCCUAUCAGCUUGUUGGUGGGGGGAUGGCCUACCAAGGCGACGACGGGUAGCCGGCCUGAGAGAGUGACCGGACACACUGGGACUGAGAUACGGCCCAGACGCCUACGUGAGGCAGCAGUGGGGAAUAUUGCACAAUGGGCGCAAGCCUGAUGCAGCGACGCCGCGUGAGGGAUGACGGCCUUCGGGUUGUAAACCUCUUUCAGCACCGACGAAGCGCAAGUGACGGUAGGUGCAGAAGAAGGACCGGCCAACUACGUGCCAGCCGCCGCAGUAA